GUGAAAGCAGAGCUUGCUCUGUGGAUCAGUGGCGAACGGGUGAGUAACACGUGAGCAAUCUGCCCCUGACUCUGGGAUAAGCGCUGGAAACGGCGUCUAAUACCGGAUACGAGCUGCGAAGGCAUCUUCAGCAGCUGGAAAGAAUUUCGGUCAGGGAUGAGCUCGCGGCCUAUCAGCUUGUUGGUGAGGUAACGGCUCACCAAGGCGUCGACGGGUAGCCGGCCUGAGAGGGUGACCGGCCACACUGGGACUGAGACACGGCCCAGACUCCUACGGGAGGCAGCAGUGGGGAAUAUUGCACAAUGGGCGAAAGCCUGAUGCAGCAACGCCGCGUGAGGGACGACGGCCUUCGGGUUGUAAACCUCUUUUAGCAGGAAAGAAGCGAAAGUGACGGUACCUGCAGAAAAAGCGCCGGCUAACUACGUGCCAGCAGCCGCGGUAAUACGUAGGGCGCAAGCGUUAUCCGGAAUUAUUGGGCGUAAAGAGCUCGUAGGCGGUCUGUCGCGUCUGCUGUGAAAACCCGAGGCUCAACCUCGGGCCUGCAGUGGGUACGGGCAGACUAGAGUGCGGUAGGGGAGAUUGGAAUUCCUGGUGUAGCGGUGGAAUGCGCAGAUAUCAGGAGGAACACCGAUGGCGAAGGCAGAUCUCUGGGCCGUAACUGACGCUGAGGAGCGAAAGGGUGGGGAGCAAACAGGCUUAGAUACCCUGGUAGUCCACCCCGUAAACGUUGGGAACUAGUUGUGGGGUCCAUUCCACGGAUUCCGUGACGCAGCUAACGCAUUAAGUUCCCCGCCUGGGGAGUACGGCCGCAAGGCUAAAACUCAAAGGAAUUGACGGGGACCCGCACAAGCGGCGGAGCAUGCGGAUUAAUUCGAUGCAACGCGAAGAACCUUACCAAGGCUUGACAUAUACGAGAACGGGCCAGAAAUGGUCAACUCUUUGGACACUCGUAAACAGGUGGUGCAUGGUUGUCGUCAGCUCGUGUCGUGAGAUGUUGGGGUUAAGUCCCGCAACGAGCGCAACCCUCGUUCUAUGUUGCCAGCACGUAAUGGGUGGGAACUCAUGGGAUACUG
rnacentral:rRNA from 1 species